rnacentral:rRNA from 1 species
CGCUGGCGGCGUGCUUAACACAUGCAAGUCGAACGGUGAACCAGAGCUUGCUCUGGGGAUCAGUGGCGAACGGGUGAGUAACACGUGGGCAACCUGCCCCAGACUCUGGGAUAACCUCGGGAAACCGAUGCUAAUACCGGAUACGACCACUUCGGACAUCCGACGGUGGUGGAAAGUUUUUCGGUCUGGGAUGGGCCCGCGGCCUAUCAGCUAGUUGGUGGGGUAAUGGCCUACCAAGGGCGACGACGGGUAGCCGGCCUGAGAGGGCGACCGGCCACACUGGAACUGAGACACGGUCCAGACUCCUACGGGAGGCAGCAGUGGGGAAUAUUGCACAAUGGGCGAAAGCCUGAUGCAGCGACGCCGCGUGAGGGACGACGGCCUUCGGGUUGUAAACCUCUUUCAGCAGGGACGAAGCGAAAGUGACUGUACCUGCAGAAGAAGCACCGGCUAACUACGUG